GCACCACUGGCAGGGCCAGAUACAGGCUGCCCUCCGAAGGCAGAGGCCACAGGUUCGAAUCCUGUCGGGUGCGCCA
rnacentral:tRNA from 1 species